rnacentral:sRNA from 1 species
UCUUAGCCCCGAUAGAAGUGAAAAACCUUAUAUGCCGGUGUUCGGCAUAUAAGUUUGUAACGGAUAGCGGGACAACUG